rnacentral:rRNA from 1 species
UACGGGGGGGGCAAGCGUUGUUCGGAAUUACUGGGCGUAAAGGGCUCGUAGGCGGCCAACUAAGUCGGACGUGAAAUCCCUCGGCUUAACCGGGGAACUGCAUCCGAUACUGGAGGGCUUGAGUUUGGGAGAGGGAUGCGGAAUUCCAGGUGUAGCGGUGAAAUGCGUAGAUAUCAGGAGGAACACCUGUGGCGAAAGCGGCUCACUGGACCAUAACUGACGCUGAUGCACGAAAGCUAGGGGAGCAAACAGG